GACGAACGCUGGCGGCGUGCCUAAUACAUGCAAGUAGAACGCAGUUGCGAACGGGUGAGUAACGCGUAGGUAACUGCCUCAUAGCGGGGGAUAACUAUUGGAAACGAUAGCUAAUACCGCAUACUGUGAGAUGGACCUGCGUUGUAUUGGCUAUGUGGGGAGGUAAAGGCUCACCAAGGCGACGAUACAUAGCCGACCUGAGAGGGUGAACGGCCCAACCUGGACUUGGAACCAGCCCAGACUCCUUAGGGGUGCAGCAGUAGGGAAUCUUCGGCAAUGGACGGAAGGCUGACCGAGCAACGCCCCGGGAGUUAAGAAGGUUUUCGGAUCGUAAAGCUCUGUUGUUAGAGAAGCGGUAACUACCCAGAAAGGGACGGCUAACUACGUGCCAGCCGCCGCGGUAAUAC
rnacentral:rRNA from 1 species